ACUUGUAAUAAAUACACAAAUUUGAACACAAAUAAUUCAUCUAUCAGGUCUAGCUUAUAUAUGUUUCAGUUGAAAGAGUUUACUUCACUGGCUAAGCCUACUGUAGCAGCUUUGGUUGCUUCUGGAAUUAUUGUCACAACUGGACGUACGGCGAUGGUAAUUGCUUGUGUCGGUUAUUUGACCUUGGAAAUUAAUGACACCAGCUGUAAGAAAAAUACUUUAUCAGAUUUAUAUAUUUUUAGCUGAAAGAGAUACUAAUUUAAAUUUGUUAAGUCAAAAAAAUCUUAUAGAAAAUAAUUUUUAAAAAAUAUUGCAAGGUACACCUUAAUAUAAUUAACAUUUGGGGCUUAAAAUAUGUGUCUUAUCAUAUAGAAUUAUUUAAAUAUUACUAAUUGAAAAUUUCCAAGAAAAAUAUCAAAAACGUUGUUGUGGUUGUAAAAAAAAUAUCUAGAUUUAAUAUAAAUGCCCUCAAAAUCAGGCAAAGUUACCAUUGUCCCUGCCCUUGUGGGUUGUGGCGUGGGUCUAUGUUUUCCGCUGGCGUAUUCCCAUCUCCGACACGGCUUCGUCUCUAUUUUCCAACAUUUCUAGGGAAUUCCUACUAAUGGGAUUGAAGACUGACCAGUGAAUUUCUGCAGGACACGUAUCACUUGAUCCCAUAAACUAUCAGUCACCUUAAAGUCCUUCAAAAAUUAUAAAAUAGAACGAUUGUAUGAUCUAUGGUAUAAUAAGUUAAUAGAUAUAAAAAUAAUUAUUUUAAAAUAAAUAUUAAUUAAUUACUAUAUUUUAAAAAGUUUACCCAUUUACUUUUUUAGAGUAUAUUUCUAUUUAUCCAAUUUUUAUUUAACCUGUAUAAUUACUGCCUUCCAUGCCCGCUCAAAUUUCCUCUGCAUACUAGUCAUCUGUCAUCCAAUGAGUCGUAUGCAGGUGGCUUUCAUAAGGCUUGAAAAGUUUCUCUUGACAGCAUCGCACUCAAAUCGUUUGAAUGGUAAGUUUGCUUCCAUUUGAUUCACAUUUUGAAUUGAAUUGAGAACCUACUUCUUCAAUCGGACGGACAAUUUCCACGUGAGACCAGGAUCAGACCGUCGAAGGUGGGUUACACCAGUUGGUUGGACCCAUACCCAGUAACCCAUGGAUGGAGAAAGCGGAAAGAAAAUUCAACCAUGUACACGAAACAGUUGACUAGAAAUAUAAUCUCGAAAAGGUGAGUUCGCCCUAGUAGAAUUGCUCCAUUAACAUAUCUCUUAUAAACCAACGCAAAACAGGACAAGGAAAACAGAACCAGAAAUGAGAAUCCAUACCCGGUUAGUCUCUUCUCUCAUCUUCUUUCUUUCUUUUAAUUAUAUUCUCAACUGUUUGCAAGCUCAGCCAGAGCCAAGCACCCAAGGAUUUACUUGCACG
rnacentral:lncRNA from 1 species